UGGCAGGCUAGCCCGGGUAGUUAGGCGUUACCUAUGACCCGAAAUCGCCGAUAUGCGGGGGGCGAAGCCGUUGGAAGAUGUUAUCAAUUACCUCUUCAACCCACGGACUUGACUGAGAAGCUCCGUCCUAUGGGGAUAACGUUGAUAUGGAAGCUUUCCUGAAGGCAUGUUUCCAUGACUUAAUUGAGGGUACCGGUCCAGGCCCGGAAGGGAGCAGACUUACCUUGAACAAUUAUCGCUCAUGGGGCAGCGGGGUGGAGGACAGACUGUGGACCAUUGGAGGGUAUGCGGUGCAACGACCAUUCGGCGUGUCUGCCA
rnacentral:SRP_RNA from 1 species